UACGAAGGGGGCGAGCGUUGUUCGGAUUUACUGGGCGUAAAGGGCGCGCAGGCGGUCUUGAAAGUCAGGCGUGAAAGCCCCGGGCUUAACCUGGGAAUUGCGCUUGAUACUCUGAGACUGGAGUACGGGAGAGGAGAGUGGAAUUCCCAGUGUAGAGGUGAAAUUCGUAGAUAUUCGCAAGAACACCAGUGGCGAAGGCGGCUCACUGGCCCGAUACUGACGCUGAGGUGCGAAAGCGUGGGGAGCAAACAGGG
rnacentral:rRNA from 1 species